CAAGUCGAACGGCAGCGCGGGGCAACCUGGCGGCGAGUGGCGAACGGGUGAGUAAUAUAUCGGAACGUACCCUGGAGUGGGGGAUAACGUAGCGAAAGUUACGCUAAUACCGCAUACGAUCUAAGGAUGAAAGUGGGGGAUCGCAAGACCUCAUGCUCCUGGAGCGGCCGAUAUCUGAUUAGCUAGUUGGUGGGGUAAAGGCCUACCAAGGCGACGAUCUGUAGCUGGUCUGAGAGGACGACCAGCCACACUGGGACUGAGACACGGCCCAGACUCCUACGGGAGGCAGCAGUGGGGAAUUUUGGACAAUGGGCGAAAGCCUGAUCCAGCAAUGCCGCGUGUGUGAAGAAGGCCUUCGGGUUGUAAAGCACUUUUGUCCGGAAAGAAAACCGCCGGGUUAAUACCCUGGCGGGAUGACGGUACCGGAAGAAUAAGCACCGGCUAACUACGUGCCAGCAGCCGCGGU
rnacentral:rRNA from 1 species